UGGGGAAUAUUGCACAAUGGGGGGAACCCUGAUGCAGCGACGCCGCGUGAGUGAAGAAGUAUUUCGGUAUGUAAAGCUCUAUCAGCAGGGAAGAAAAUGACGGUACCUGACUAAGAAGCCCCGGCUAACUACGUGCCAGCAGCCGCGGUAAUACGUAGGGGGCAAGCGUUAUCCGGAUUUACUGGGUGUAAAGGGAGCGUAGACGGCAGAGCAAGUCUGAAGUGAAAGCCCGCGGCCCAACUGCGGGACUGCUUUGGAAACUGCCCGGCUAGAGUGCUGGAGAGGUAAGCGGAAUUCCUAGUG
rnacentral:rRNA from 1 species